GGUUCAGGACGAACGCUGGCGGCGUGCCUAAUACAUGCAAGUCGAACGGCUUUUCUAUGGAAGCUUGCUUCCACUGAGAAGAUAGUGGCGGACGGGUGAGUAACACGUGGGGUAACCUGCCCAUAAGAGGGGGGAUAACAUCCGGAAACGGGUGCUAAUACCGCAUAGUUUUCUUGAUCGCAUGAUUGAGAAAGGAAAGACGGCCUUUGUGCUGUCGCUUAUGGAUGGACCCGCGGCGUAUUAGUUAGUUGGUGAGGUAACGGCUCACCAAGACGAUGAUACGUAGCCGACCUGAGAGGGUGAUCGGCCACAUUGGGACUGAGACACGGCCCAAACUCCUACGGGAGGCAGCAGUAGGGAAUCUUCCGCAAUGGACGAAAGUCUGACGGAGCAACGCCGCGUGAGUGAAGAAAGGUUUUCGGAUCGUAAAACUCUGUUGUCAGAGAAGAACAAGUCGGAGAGUAACUGCUCCGGCCUUGACGGUAUCUGACCAGAAAGCCACGGCUAACUACGUGCCAGCCGCAGC
rnacentral:rRNA from 1 species